UAUGUUACGACUUAUUCCAUUUUAAUGAAAUUGACGGGCAAUUUGUACACUUUUCAAAACUAAUUUCAAUUUAAUUAAUUUAUUAAAUUUACUUUUAAAUUCUCUUUCAAAUUAAUAUUAAAAUUAAUUAUCUAAAAAUAUAAUUUAUUAUAACUCAUAAAAUUCUUAAAUAUACUACAUUUUGAUUUGAAUAAUUAUUCAUAUUAAAUAUUAAUAAAAAAUAAUCUUAAAUAAAAAUACACAACAAUAUAUAAGUUUAAUUUAAGUAAAUCUUAUCGUGGAUUAUCAAAUUAAACUACAAGUUUCUCUAAUAAGAAUGAAAAGCCGCCAUAUAAUUUAAUUUUAAUGAUUUAACAUUUAUUAAUAAAUUAAUUUUAUUAUUUUAUAUAGUGGGGUAUCUAAUCCC
rnacentral:rRNA from 1 species